UUAGUAGCCACAGAAUGACAUUGCCUGGAAUUGUACAACUUGUGUAAGGGUACUUACCAUUCUGUGGCUCGUAAUGCACAUGCGUCAGACCAGCUCGGUCAUGUGAGCAGGCCUUGCAUUCCAGCGCUCUUAAAAACGUAUGCGGUGCAGCGCAAGUUGACAAUUAUACUCAGUCAUUGCUUGGUUAUCAAGUUCAUUCUUGUGCCUGGCGUUUUCAUUAUCCUGUUUCCUGUUUUGACUUUUGGCCUGAUCUCCGCUUGUGAACCUUCUCUGCCUACCUCGACCUGGACCUGUCUGGCGUUUCUCCUGCUUGAUCCUUUUGGUACCUUGUUUGGCUCUCCGGCCUCUCUCCACUUCUGCGCUUCCUGUCCUAAACCUCAGGCAAGCCUCCAGCUAGUGUGAGAUGUUUCUGAGCUUGCUCUCAUCUACCUGUCUUCUACGGCUUGACAGUAUAACCAAGUCAUGGACAGGGAGGAAGAAUCUUCUCCUUUCUCUACCCUUGCCCAACCGAUUGCUUCCCUUAAACAGGCAGUGAGGGAGCUUCAGAGAGAGUACAGUCAAGUCCAGGAGCAACUAUGCACUAUGAAACCACCUGCACUAGGACCUGGGCCUCCCGCUGCUGCUGCCUCUGCCUCUGCCUCACCUUCUCCUGAGCCCAAGGUUGCUAUGCCUGAAAAGUUUUCUGGUGACCGUAAAAUUUUUAGAACUUUUAUGAAUGCUUGCAAGCUCCUGUUUACUCUCAAACCAAGAAUGUAUUCUAGUGAGCAAGUCAAGGUGGGAGUCGUGGUUUUCUUAUUGCAGGGGGAACCUCAUUUCACAUCAUGGAACAACGCAGUCCUACCUUACAAUUGGUCGACUCCUUUUUCCAAGCUUUGGCAGUUUUGUAUGAUGAUCCACAUAGGACUGCUACAGCUGAAGCCGGUCUAAGGAAUUUGCAUCAAGGAACCAGACCAGUCGAAGAUUAUACAGUGGAGUUUCAGAAAUUUGCUUCCAACGUGGACUGGAAUCAACCAGCUUUGCAACAUCAAUACCGUUUAGGUCUUUCCUGCGGUUUAAAAGACGAGCUAGCUUGAGUGGGGGUCCCGGUCACUCUAGAUGAACUUAUCCAUUUGUCUAUUCUAGUCGACCUUCGUCUAAGGGAAAGAAAGGUUGAAAAGGCUGGUCAGUUCUAUCCCUCUUGGCUGGUACCAAAGGCUACUCCAGCCAUAUGACCGGAAUCUGGGACUUCAGUUGCUGGCGAGCCAGAACCCAUGCAAAUUGGUGCCCUUUGACCUGCUCUGUCUCCGGAGAAACGUCUACAUUGAAUUCGGCUUAAUCUCUGUUUAUAUUGUGGGCUCGCUGGUCAUCUGCUUCGCAAUUGUCCUACCCGUUCUUCUCCUUUUGGAAGACGAGACCCUAGUCCUCCCAGCCAUACUUGACUCCGGAGCUAGUCGGUGUUUCCUUGAUUUUCAAGUUGCAGAAAUCAAUCAAAUUCCUUUGAAGAAAAAGCAAUUCCCAGUCCUCAUACGCUGAUGGUUCACCUAUAAGCUCUGGUCCCAUUCUGCAUGAAUCACUUCCUUUGUCUCCUACUCUCAAUAAAAUUCAUCUUGAACAUUUAA